GCAAUAAGUGAUUUGUGAACCAGC
rnacentral:piRNA from 1 species